AUACGUAGGGGGCGAGCGUUGUCCGGAAUGAUUGGGCGUAAAGGGCGCGUAGGCGGCCUGUUAAGUCUGGAGUGAAAGUCCUGUUUUCAAGAUGGGAAUUGCUUUGGAUACUGAUGGGCUUGAGUGCAGGAGAGGUUAUCGGAAUUCCCGGUGUAGCGGUGAAAUGCGUAGAGAUCGGGAGGAACACCAGUGGCGAAGGCGGGUAACUGGACUGCAACUGACGCUGAGGCGCGAAAGUGUGGGGAGCAAACAGGAUUAGAUACCCUGGUAGUCCACACUGUAAACGAUGAAUGCUAGGUGUAAGAGGUAUCGACCCCUUUUGUGCCGGAGUUAACACAAUAAGCAUUCCGCCUGGGGAGUACGGCCGCAAGGUUGAAACUCAAAUGAAUGGACGGGG
rnacentral:rRNA from 1 species